UGAGGCAGGAACAAAUGGUGAUUUAUUUAACAAAGAAGCAGGGUAAACCAGGAAACAAGUGGGGAAACUAAGUAACCAGGGAUUAAACUAAGGACAACUCACUGAAGGGGAGGGUGACGGUACCGGGAACCGGUGGCCCGGCAGGCGACCUCUGUUCGGGUGCUGGUCGGCAGCGGAGAGCGGGCAGGAGCGUCCCGUUCAGAGGGGUAGGUAGGCAGGAUGGUCCAGAGAGCUGGGGAGCUCAGCAGUAGGAUGUUCUAGAGAGCUGGGGAGCUCAGCAGUAGGAUGUUCUAGAGAGCUGGGGAGCUCAGCAGUAGGAUGUUCUAGAGAGCUGGGGAGCUCAGCAGUAGGAUGUUCUAGAGAGCUGGGGAGCUCAGCAGUAGGAUGUUCUAGAGAGCUGGGGAGCUCAGCAGGUAGGAUGUUCUAGAGAGCUGGGGAGCUCAGCAGUAGGAUGUUCUAGAGAGCUGGGGAGCUCAGCAGUAGGAUGUUCUAGAGAGCUGGGGAGCUCAGCAGUAGGAUGUUCUAGAGAGCUGGGGAGCUCAGCAGUAGGAUGUUCUAGAGAGCUGGGGAGCUCAGCAGUAGGAUGUUCUAGAGAGCUGGGGAGCUCAGCAGUAGGAUGUUCUAGAGAGCUGGGGAGCUCAGCAGUAGGAUGUUCUAGAGAGCUGGAGAGCUCAGCAGGUAGGGAAAUCCAGGGGCAGGUUGGGGAUCCAGGAGCAGGAGGGGGGCAGAAUCCGGAGGGUCUGGUUAGGGAGAUCCGAAGGCUGGUUUCAGGAAGCAGGAUUGGCAGAACCGGGCAGCUGGGACAGCAGAACUGCAGGCAAGAGAACAGAGGUAGAAGGAACAUAUUUCUACUAGAGCAUAAAUGUGCAGGAAGCUAGACAGCAGAGUUU
ensembl:lncRNA